rnacentral:lncRNA from 1 species
GGUUACAAAUACACAUAGAAGCCUUUUUUGUCUCUAAUCUACAGCUCUCUGUAAUAUCAUUAUUUAUCCUAUAGGUGGUCGCUAUGGAUGAGGAAUCAGGUGAGGUUGCUAAAGCCUCAGUCGACAUAGAGCUGCUACAAAGAGGCCAGCCAGUUCCACGGACACCUUUCGGAGAAGAGCGGUUGUUCAGAGACAUGGAUGUGAGGAUGGCUGGCGGGAUCAUGGGUGGGAUGCUGCUACUGUUAGUGGCCAUCCUGUUCCUGCUGAUCCGAUGGGCCAAGAGGAGACGGAGACGGGACCCGGCCAGACGAGGGGCUGUCAUCCUGGGGAAGCACCCCAAUGUGGAUUUGCAUGAGCCCUGUCAUCCUCUCCAGGCUCCUUAGAGAGGGAGAACACUCUGGACAUCAAUCACACAUCCACAGACUGGACUGCUUUUAAUUAUGAUUCAUUAUCAGUUAUUAUGUCUGUAUGACAUGUACUGUAUAUACUGUAGUACUAUCUCUUUAGAAGCACUGUUGCCUUUAGAGAUGUUAGUACUGCAAGACAUUAGACAUUAGUACUGUAAGUACACCCAUUGGCUCGUCUCGCUCGCUGCUGUAUUGCCAUCUAGUGUCUUGCCCCAGGGGGCCCUUCAUAGUGUCAAGUUUUAGGAGAAGAUGCUGGAGUUUGUCCUUUUUCAGAGAGAGAUCUAUCAGAGAAAAUAAAAUAAUACAUUAACUUUAGCUAAACGCAAACCAAACAUUAACUAGGCCUUCAUUUUGAAGAAUAAUUUUGCAUCCUAGACAGUGAAAGGCCUAUUUCUUAGGGUCAUGCUCUGAUCACUACCACAUGCUGUGAAAAACAUGAUUCAGGUACAUUAGUAUCAACAAAUCCACCCAGUAUAUUUCCACUUUGCCCUGUCAAAGACCUCUGACAUUUCCCUCUGACCACUGACCUUUGACAUGGCGUUCCUUCUGGGCCCUGAGAUGGGAACCGGCCUGCUGUUUGAGAUGGAGUAGGUACUCAUGGCUGCUGGGGGGAGUGUUGGAACUGGAGGGUCCUACAUCAUUAUCAUCAUCAUUCCCUUUGGUGCUACAGCCCUCUAUGAAAACACAAAUCCUUCUACUCAAGUGAUGUUUUGUCUUGCCUCAAGAACAUCCUAGUUAGCGGGUUUUUGACUGAACAAGGCCCUCAGUCAAGAGAUACACUUCAACGCAAUCUAGUGUUUGGAAUGUAAGGAGUGUCUCACCAUGAUCAAUGGACAGGAAGUUAUCAUCGAUGACCUCAUACUUCUCUGCCCUUUGGCUUUUGCUGUGAUUGGUGGAGGUGACAUUUACAGGUGUGCUUGGACCUAUACUUGAGAGAUGUAAAAAUCUGCCCUGAGACAGAGGCAAUACCCAAAGAUAAUCACCUGCUUUUGACAGUUGUUAGCCCUAAAUUAACAUGACAUAAUCCAUUCAAUCCUCACACGCCUACAGUCUUUUUUGGACCUAUCAUUUGUUACACAAAUUCAGUGCUCUCUUUUUACCAGGGUUGAGAUUGUUCUCCCUAGGCUGUGAUGGCGGGGUAACAUUCCCUGACACCAGCCCUUUCUCCACGUACUGAGGAACAUUGCUGAUCACCCUCUCGGUGGAACAUCUGCAAAAACAUAAUAAACCAUAGUGUUGCGCUCAUAAGCCAGUUAUCCAAUUAGUGGCAGAAGAAAAACAACAGAUAAAAGACAAAGCAAGUUAAGCCAUGGCUGUGAUGUUGGGUGUUGGCUGUAAUAGAAGGCUACAAACUACAAAACAAAUAAACAGUUGGCUGUGAUUUAGUAUUCUACUGUAGUCGGCAUGUGUAUUGUGCCAGGAACUGCAAUGCAGUUACAUGGUAACAGGUACACUCAGCAAAUACACUCAUUUUGCAUCUACACUGCCUCCACAGUUUCUUUCAAACAUUCAGCAGGGGGUCUACUACCUUGAAGAAUUCAAAGAGUUCUGCUCGGAGGCAGACACAAGGUCCUCUCUUCCUGUUUUGAGCCACUCCCCAUGAAACGAUGCCUAGAUAUGGGGAAAGUGUUAGAGAAAGAAAUUAAAAACAGCAUGCUGGUGAAUUCAAUGGAUCACAUUUAAAUUAUUUUACUCACCAUAGUCAAAAUUAGGUCAACUCUAGUACACUAUGGUAUCACAGACUUGCAUUCACUUCAUUUACUGAUGUUUAGAGGACAGAAAGAGCCCGUGCAGGUUAUUCCACAUAUCCCUUCCAAAGGUCAUGGCUGAGAUGAGACAUAUGGACAUUAGUGAGAGAUGACAAACAAGAACACAUAGAAAACCAUUUUAAAGUAGACGUAUGGAUCUAUGCACAUUUCCGCAAUUGUUAGCUCACAAUGGGCAGUUACCAUGGGGAUAGAAUAUCAAAACAUUCAAGGUGAAAUCAAAAACUUCAGACCUGAAAAGAUUUGGGGGUACAGAAUGUUUCCUGCUGUAAUUACAUGUGUAUGGAACCACUUGUUGAAGUGGACGGAUGAAUAAUGGCUACAGUACCUCCUAUCGACUAGAUCACCAACCAUUACCGUUCUCCUAGCAGCAGGAUAAUAUGGAUAAUAAGGAUAACACAUUCCCACCACUAAAGUGUCAAUACUAUCUCACAAUUUCUACUUAUUAUAGACAUUUGUAGAUACCGAAGUAAACAUUUCUAGAUAAUGUCGAAACAUUUACAGACACUAAGUCGAAGUUUAGCAUGUCUUUGCAGGGAGACUGAAUGUGAUUAUUUUGUGAUUACAUUGGGGGGGUUCAACCUGUCAACUAUCAGCUAAUCAUGAGUCUUGUCAGAUAAUCAUCAAGCCCUUGAUUGGGUGAAUCAGGUGAACUAAUUCAGGGCUAAAACAAAAUUGUGAAACAUCUGGGUGUCCCCGAGGAGGUGUUUUAGAAGCACUGAGCUAACCUAAUCAGGUUAAACUCCAGACCCUAGUUGGAGGGUAUGACAUUAAAUGGUUUUAUAUGGGCUAUGAUGAGACCAUAUUUUUUCUAAUUAGGUCAUAUGGUAAAAGAAAAUAAUAGACAACAGCAAUUGGACAAUAGAACCAACAGGGGCCUGUUUGCUUUAUGCAGGAUUGCAUCAUGUAGGCAUUCGCAUCUGUAAUACAUUUAAAAAAAGGUUACUCACACAGUAUGUCAACACUAUUGUGUUAAUUGAUUAAUUCCAGUCAAUAAUUGUGGAUUGAAGGUCUAGGUAGCCUAGCCACCAGAAGUUUGUAUAUGAACCAAAUUUGAUCACAUUCACAUUUUCUCUUUACACAAAUAAAUAGGCCCAUUUUAGGCUAUAAAUACACAGCUUAGGCUACAAAUACAUGACGUUACUGAUUAUUUUCCCCUGGCCAGAGGGGAUUAGCGCUUAAUAGGCUUCUCUACCUGCAGCUGUGGUUGUUAUCAGUAGGCUACCGUUGAUCAGACUGAAGCAAAGAUAAAUUGUGCACGAGUUUGCAAAUCAGUCUAAACAAAUUUAUUUUGUCCCUAUUUUCUUUUCUUUUUUUGAAUUUUACCCCUUUUUCUCCCCAAUUUCGUGGUAUCCAAUUGAUUUUAGUAGCUACUAUCUUGUCUCAUCGCUACAACUCCCGUACAGGCUCGGGAGAGACGAAGGUUGAAAGUCAUGCGUCCUCCGAUACACAARCCAACCAAGCCGCACUGCUUCUUAACACAGCGCCAUCCAACCCGGAAGCCAGCUGCACCAAUGUGUCGGAGGAAACACCUUGCACCUGGCAACCUUGGUUGGCGCGCAUUGCUCCCAGCCCGCCACAGGAGUCGCUGGUGCGCGAUGAGACAAGGAUUUCCCUACCGGCCGAACCCUCCCUAACCCGUGCGACGCGGCAAGUUACGACAGAGCCUGGGCGCGAUAAGUCCCUAUUUUCAAUGCAUUCCGUGUCCAUAUGUUUUAUCAAACCGAAUCAAAAGUGUUGGGGCAUAUGCCAACUCGCCACACGUUUGCCAGCGGCCCUGCUGAUCUCUGCAACAUGGUUAGAUUGAGAUCGCCAC